rnacentral:rRNA from 1 species
ACUCAAAUGAAUAGACGGGGACCCGCACAAGCGGUGGAUGAUGUGGUUUAAUUCGACGCAACGCGAAGAACCUUACCGAGGCUUGACAUCCUGCGAAUCCCGCCGAAAGGUGGGAGUGCCUUCGGGAAUGCAGUGACAGGUGCUGCAUGGCCGUCGUCAGCUCGUGUCGUGAGAUGUUGGGUUAAGUCCCGCAACGAGCGCAACCCUUAUCGUCUGUUGAAUAUUUCAGGCGAGACUGCCCGGGUUAACCGGGAGGAAGGUGGGGAUGACGUCAGGUCAGCAUGGCCCUUACGCCUCGGGCCACACACGUCAUACAAUGGCCAGUACAAUGCGCAGCCAACCAGCAAUGGGGAGCAAAUCGCAUCAAAACUGGUCCCAGUUCGGAUUGAAGGCUGCAACUCGCCUUCAUGAAGUCGGAAUCGCUAGUAAACGUGGGUCAGCAUACCACGUUGAAUACGUUCCCGGGUCUUGUACACACCGCCCGU